rnacentral:rRNA from 1 species
CCUACGGGUGGCAGCAGUGAGGAAUAUUGGUCAAUGGGCGAGAGCCUGAACCAGCCAAGUCGCGUGAGGGAGUACUGCCCUAUGGGUUGUAAACCUCUUUUGUCGGGGAGCAAAAGCCGGACGUGUCCGGCUGUGAGAGUACCCGAAGAAAACGCAUCGGCUAACUCCGUGCCAGCAGCCGCGGUAAUACGGAGGAUGCGAGCGUUAGUCGGAUUUAUUGGGUUUAAAGGGUGCGCAGGCGGAUUUGUAAGUCAGCGGUAAAAUCGUGGGGCUCAACCCCAUCCAGCCGUUGAAACUGGGGAUCUAGAGUGUGCGAGAGGUAUGCGGAAUGCGUGGUGUAGCGGUGAAAUGCAUAGAUAUCACGCAGAACCCCGAUUGCGAAGGCAGCAUACCGGUGCACAACUGACGCUCAGGCACGAAAGCGUGGGUAUCGAACAGGAUUAGAUACCCUUGUAGUC